GGACUACAGGGGUAUCUAAUCCUGUUUGCUACCCACGCUUUCGUGCCUCAGCGUCAAUAUUGGCUUAGUGAGCUGCCUUCGCAAUCGGUGUUCUAAAACAUAUCUAAGCAUUUCACCGCUACAUGUUGUAUUCCGCCCACUUCAACCACAUUCAAGCUAAACAGUUUCAAUGGCAGUUUCGCAGUUGAGCUGCGAGCUUUCACCAAUGACUUAUUAAGCCGCCUACGCACCCUUUAAACCCAGUGAAUCCGGAUAACGCUUGCACCCUCCGUAUUACCGCGGCUGCUGGCAC
rnacentral:rRNA from 1 species